ACUCCUACGGGAGGCAGCAGUGGGGAAUAUUGCACAAUGGGCGCAAGCCUGAUGCAGCCAUGCCGCGUGUAUGAAGAAGGCCUUCGGGUUGUAAAGUACUUUCAGCGGGGAGGAAGGCGAUAAGGUUAAUAACCUUGUCGAUUGACGUUACCCGCAGAAGAAGCACCGGCUAACUCCGUGCCAGCAGCCGCGGUAAUACGGAGGGUGCAAGCGUUAAUCGGAAUUACUGGGCGUAAAGCGCACGCAGGCGGUCUGUCAAGUCGGAUGUGAAAUCCCCGGGCUCAACCUGGGAACUGCAUUCGAAACUGGCAGGCUAGAGUCUUGUAGAGGGGGGUAGAAUUCCAGGUGUAGCGGUGAAAUGCGUAGAGAUCUGGAGGAAUACCGGUGGCGAAGGCGGCCCCCUGGACAAAGACUGACGCUCAGGUGCGAAAGCGUGGGGAGCAAACAGGAUUAGAAACCCUUGUAGUCCCAUGA
rnacentral:rRNA from 1 species